rnacentral:rRNA from 1 species
GAUGAACGCUGGCGGCGUGCCUAAUACAUGCAAGUCGAGCGAACAGACGAGGAGCUUGCUCCUCUGACGUUAGCGGCGGACGGGUGAGUAACACGUGGAUAACCUACCUAUAAGACUGGGAUAACUUCGGGAAACCGGAGCUAAUACCGGAUAACAUGUUGAACCGCAUGGUUCAACAGUGAAAGACGGUCUUGCUGUCACUUAUAGAUGGAUCCGCGCCGCAUUAGCUAGUUGGUAAGGUAACGGCUUACCAAGGCAACGAUGCGUAGCCGACCUGAGAGGGUGAUCGGCCACACUGGAACUGAGACACGGUCCAGACUCCUACGGGAGGCAGCAGUAGGGAAUCUUCCGCAAUGGGCGAAAGCCUGACGGAGCAACGCCGCGCGAGUGAAGAAGGUCUUCGGAUCGUAAAACUCUGUUAUUAGGGAAGAACAAAUGUGUAAGUAACUAUGCACGUCUUGACGGUACCUAAUCAGAAAGCCACGGCUAACUACGUG